GACGAACGCUGGCGGCGUGCUUAAUACAUGCAAGUCGAACGGAAAGGCCCUGCGUUUGCGGGGCGCUCGAGUGGCGAACGGGUGAGUAACACGUGAGUAACAUGCCCUUGACUUUGGGAGAACAUCAGGAAACUGGGGCUAAUACCGGAUAUGAGCUCUUGCUGCAUGGUGGGGGUUGGAAAGUUUCGGCGGUUGGGGCUGGACUCGCGGCUUAUCAGCUUGUUGGUGGGGUAGUGGCUUACCAAGGCUUUGACGGGUAGCCGGCCUGGGAGGGUGACCGGCCACAUUGGGACUGAGAUACGGCCCAGACUCCUACGGGAGGCAGCAGUGGGGAAUAUUGCACAAUGGGCGGAAGCCUGAUGCAGCAACGCCGCGUGCGGGAUGACGGCCUUCGGGUUGUAAACCGCUUUCGCCUGUGACGAAGCGUGAGUGACGGUAAUGGGUAAAGAAGCACCGGCUAACUACGUG
rnacentral:rRNA from 1 species